GCGCUUGUGGCCUAAUGGAUAAGGCGUCGGAUUUCUAAUCAAACGAUUGUGGGUUCGAAUCCCACCAGGCGUA